GGUUGGCAGAAAACUACGUUUCAAACUGGGCCUAAAAAUACCGAAUAGGCAACUGUUCUGUUCUGGACUGUAUACUUAAACAAGAAUCAUAAAAGGCGGAGAUGAAGUUUGCAGCCGGGUCAAAAUAAGCAAACGCGAAUUGAAGUAACUUUCCCCACCAACGAGGGCGCCUGGCUCGCAGCUUACCGAGUCGCCGUCGGGUCACCGACGCCGAACUCCCCACCGGGCAGUCCCUACAAUCGGUCUCACAUUCCCAGCAUGUGUCGUGGAUGACUGCAUUUGCUUCUUUUUCACCUCCGGGAGCCCAGUCUGGCGCGCCACCCAUGGCCGCACGGAAGGUGUUCGAGAAAAUGUUUGGUUUGUGGAUGCGCAAGGAAAACCGUGGGCGUGACCACAGGUUGAAUUGGGGGGCUAUUGUGAUUGCGCGACCUUCGCUGCGCUCAUGGUGAGCCAACAAGUUCACAAGCUGCUCCACGCAGGUUCUCUCCCGAUGCAGAAGCCAGGAAGCUCUUUGGCUUCUUGAAUCACCAUGGAGAUCUGAGACUGCAUAGCUUCGCAGAGACGUUCUGGUAACUGAAGUCACAUAGGGGAAAGUUCUGGAGCACUGCUGAAAUGAUGCCGUCAAUCAUCUGAGAAAAAAGAAGGUACUGCUGACUAGGGUAGGGUGCGUGCUGCUGCAGAGCUUCUCUGGGAAACUAUCGGAAUCCAGUGUGCUAGGAUGCUAGACUGUCAUUUUCACUGGUAAAUCUGCUUAUUUUCUGUAUUGACGAUCUCACGUGUGGGAGUAUGCAAGCCUGUGAAAUCUGUAUGUCAUUUUCAAGGAGAGAGCAACUCAUUCCUCAAAGGUUUUUUGGAUAAUAAUGCAUGGCGAUCAUGGAAGUGCAUUUCUUUCGUCACCACACGAGAGCUGCAGUGAAGAUGUGUUGAACUACUAAAUCUGGAGGUGACACGUCGAUGGUACACUGCUGACGGCGAUUCAAGCCCAGAAAAGGUCCCUUGGCCUCCUUUGUCAAUGCGCCUAACCUCCGGUGUGCCUCAACUUGGAAUCAUUUUGGCUUCCGGUGGAGUCAUGGCUCAAGCUGUCAGAGGGCGGUGGUUGCGGAACAGCUCGGGAGCCUCUUACAGCUUCGCGCAGGCUCCCAGGUACAUAAUUGAAUAUGCAAUUCUACUCCUUUUUCUCAUGACAGUGGAUUGGAAUUUGAAUAUGUCCAUUGUUGAAUGACUUGAGUCCUCUAAUGAAAUUAGUAUUGCUUUCUUUCCUGCUACUUACUCUGUGUUGAUGUUGGGGUUCACAUUGAAAAGGAAACAAAGUUUAAAACGUGACUGGAUACAACGUA